rnacentral:lncRNA from 1 species
AGACGGCUCCGUCGUUGGCGUGGUCGGAGGGGUCCUUGGCGUCGUGGCUGUGGUUGUGGUUGCCGUUGUCGUCGUCGUGGGCCCCGCGGACGCGCUUGCCUAGUAUGAAGGGGGUGGGGCCGCCGAGGAGGUGAGGCUUAUGGUCGGAGGUGGUGGUGGAAGAGGGGGCGGAGGAGGGGGCGCCGCCGCGGAGGGAGACGGAGACGGUGGAGAAGGAGGCGGGGGUGGUGCCAGUUCCGGUGGCAGCGAUGAUUGAGGGCUCGGCCUGGCGGAGGAGCCACUCGAUGGUCUGGCCGUCGGACUUGUGGCCGAGCUCACGUGUGAGCUGGAACACACGUGCGGCGCAUAUGAUGGGCAUGCGGAUGCG